CACGUAGUUAGCCGGGGCUUCUUAGUCAGGUACCGUCAUUAUCUUCCCUGCUGAUAGAGUUUUACAUACCGAAAUACUUCUUCACUCACGCGGCGUCGCUGCAUCAGGGUUCCCCCCAUUGUGCAAUAUUCCCCACUGCUGCCUCCCGUAGGAGUCUGGGCCGUGUCUCAGUCCCAAUGUGGCCGUUCACUCUCUCAAGCCGGCUACUGAUCGUCGCCUUGGUAAGCCGUUACCUUACCAACCAGCUAAUCAGACGCGGGUCCAUCCCAUAGCGAUAAAUCUUUCAAAAACAGGACCAUGCGGUCCCGCUUUCCCAUGCGGUAUUAGCAGCCGUUUCCAGCUGUUCGUCCCCCUCUAUGGGGCAGGUUACCCACGCGUUACUCACCCGUCCGCCACUCAGUCAUCCCAUAUGCUUCCUUCCCAGCAAGCUGGUUCUGUCUGCGGGUGGAUGCUUCGUUCGACUUGCAUGUGUUAGGCACGCCGCAGCGUUCAU
rnacentral:rRNA from 1 species